GAUGAAGCACCGGGGCUCUUCCACAUAAAAACUUGCACUUUUGGAAAUGUUGCUCCCACCUUCAUCCCUUUCCUGAUCAUUUGGCAUGAGUCUGACUACACAGAGAGGCAGCUGCCAAACUACAGAAAGAUGAAGGUGGACGUGUUUAAAAAGGGCAACGAGACAGAGUAAAAAUGUUUUUUAAGAUUAAGCUGCACACAUGCUCUGAAAAUGAGCACAGAGACUGAGUCACAGUUAAAAGAAGGAAUGAGACUGAGGCCAAGUGAUUGAUGGUUUUGAGAGAAUCAGACUGUUUUUAUGUUUUGGUAAUUCCUUCUGGAUUUUUAAAAAACAACUUCUUGCUAAUCCAACAGCAUUUCUUAAGCACGCACAGUGGCACAGGGACGUAUUCUGGAAAACCUGUCAUGAAAGCUCAAGAAACUGCUCUCGCUCCAAACCAGUUCAAGUGCCACCUUCCCCGCUGGAGCGCCUCUGAACCUUUCAGGUCAUGCUUUCCCCCCUCUUUCCUCACGUUCUCAGGUCUCAGAGCACAAACUACUAACCUCAGCCGCUUUGACCUCAGCUCCGGCCUGUAUCCCGAGCUGGCACGAACCUGGGACAAAAGCUCUGCCCCUGGCAUAUGGGCGCGCCUACAGCUGGCGAUCACCGCCAGGACACAGAAUUUCUAUGAACGUGUUAUCUCUCGCUUCACUCUAAAUUUGCACUUAAUAGGUUUGGGCAUUUUUUUCAUAUUGAUUGUUAGAAAAGGUAGUGGACAUUCUCCUAAGAGGCUUUCUUUUCUCAACAAAACCUUUUCAAAUUCUGUUUUAAAUGAACUACACAGCAUUAAAGUGACAAGCAAAUGUAUCAAUGGCCGCAGGGAGUGUCAGACAGCAGUGUGAAAGCACCGUGCUAAAGCAUUUACUCUGAAGUCUAAAAUUAGAUGGUUUUUAUUACAGUCUGCUUAUAAGAAUCCUGAAAGGAUGAAUACCCUGCACCGCAGUCUGAAAGCUGACAAGGUAUCGCUUAACUAUUUCCUUCUUUCCUUCUCCCUUUGAAGCAUCAGGUGUUUGGCUCAGCGGGUAAGAAGGCGAAACCACACCCGCCAACCUUCUGCCUCUCCUCAGAACAGCUGAUCUGGAAGAAACCUGCCACAUGCCGGGCCUCUGUGGACAGCCUGCGUGGCCCACGGCACCUCUCCUGUCACUCAGCAGUGCUGACUUUGCCUUACAGACCCCCGCAAUAGGUGUUUUAAGAUGAAACGUCUAAGUAAACAUAAAUGAGUGAGAAGCUCCUCUCAGAAGGGAGGAAUGACUGACUGGCUCUGAGGAGAAACAAGAAAUGUCCUGGUUUUGCUCCUGAGGCACAAGGGACAGAAACUAAAAAAGGUAGGUACACAGAGGAAUACACCAGCUGCCCGGCGCAGCCACGCACGUGUCCCCUUCCGGAGUCCCGAGUCCAGGCGGAGGCCGUGCUCCCCCCAGCAGGUCAACACCUGCCAGCCUGGAGGACUGCAGCGAGACGCACCAGAGAAAAUGCCAAGCGGCGCUCUAGUCCUGUCUGGUCACAGAUUCUGGGAACAGCUCUCUGUUUCUUCGUCAGGUGUUUAUUGGUGGCAAGGAUAUAUCCUUAAAACAGAAACCUGCACUCUGGGUGAGAAUGCUUUGAUGUGUUACCAUAAAUGAGGACCUGCUGGCACUAAAAUACCGCCAGGCUGCCCCAAAUCAAACAUCUAGGUUUUCGAGCCGAGGAGAGCCAAAAGUCUUUUGUAUCCUGAGAGUGGAAGACAGUGAUCUUUGUGCUGCCGGCAAUGGGCACUACUGGGAAGCUCUAAUGAGCCAAGAGGUGGGAAGUGCUCUGGUGACUGGAGUACCACCCAGAUGUAAGACAGUAUCCUUAAAUGACUCUCCUGAGAAACCCUCUGGCCCACAUUUCUACGUCACUUCAGAUCCACAGGAGUCAAAUUUCUCUGUCAAUCUACGGAAGUCUUUGUAAGCAUCAGUGAUGGAGGAGACCCGGAUCCAAAAGCCAGCCAACCUGCAAACAAACGGUAACACAGACUCUGAAAAACAAGCGCCCAGCCUACAGCUGCUGUCUCAAAUGUGGGCGAGAGGCCCUUCAGCGGCGGAGUUACACAGAUCUUCACAGGCCUCCAACCACAGGACCCGCGUGCAAAUACCGCAGAGAGUGGCUGUGAAGAGAGCGCACCAUCACAGCACACACCCCAGCACCACCCCACUCGGUCUGCCUCUCAAAGAAGCACGAGACAACUGUCAAACUGACAGAGGAACGCAGCAAUAACUGUGGCUACAGGACUUCACCUGGAUUUCACCCGUCUUUCACCGAUGUCCUUUUUCUACUCCAGGACUGGAUGCUGCAUCCCACAUGCCCUUACCGGUCACAUACCCUUCGUCUCCUCUGGUCUGUGACCGCUCCAUCUUUCCUCAUUUUGCAUGACCUUAAAAACUGCAGAGUACUGGGUGGAUAUCUCAUGGAACAUCCCGUAAUUUGGGUCUUAAAUUUUCUUGGAUAGAGAGCAUGGAUUUUUGGAAGAGUACCAAAGAGGUGAUGUGACCCUCUUAGCACAUACCAGAAGGUAUGUCAUUCCAUUAUUGGUGAUGUUAAACUCGAUUGCUGGAGAAAGUCGCGUCUUCGAGGACUCCCUACUACAAAAUUACUAUUGUUCCCUUUGUCAGUUAUUUGGGGAGAGACAUUUUGAGGCUAUGCAAACACCCUGUUUUUCCUUAAACUUUUGCUCACUCAUUUUAGCAUCCAUUGACCCUGUCUGGCCAUGAUCUCUGUACUGUGGUAAUGACAGUGAUGAUUUGCUAUUUCUCUCAUUCUUUCUACAUGUAAUAAUUAGAACUCUUCUCUAAGGAAGAGCUGUUUCUUUCAUCAUUUUUAUCAAUAACAGACUUGGUAUUUUGUAUUCCUUGGGUACUAAUCCAAUACUAUUGUUACUUAUUUUGUUGCUUAAAUUGUUCUAGUUUGGGCCACUGGAGCUCUUCGGAGAGGCUGGUUCCUGUAAGCAUUUCACCUGCACUUCCUUAUCCUCUGGCACCUCCGACUCAUCCUGUAUUUUCAUUGCCCCCACUCUAUAAUCAAUCAUUUCUCCAAGGAAUCCUGAUUCCUUUUAUUGGAGAAUGUUUAGACACGAAGAUCUGAGUACUAGGUGUGUUCAGUUAUCAGGUGCCAUUACCUGAAGGGUCUGUCGGUAGAGCUAGGAAAUAUAUGAGGUACACUAUUCACGUGUAUAUACAUUGAUAUUUCUCUAUCUAUGUUAAGAAAGUAAGUUCAUACUGAAAGUUCCAACAAUAGCCCAGAAACACAGUCUUCACUAUAGCCUUCCUUCCCCAACCCCAACCACCUUGCUUAUUUGUAAGUUUUUUCCCCUCCAACAAUG